rnacentral:rRNA from 1 species
UACGAAGGGGGCUAGCGUUGUUCGGAAUUACUGGGCGUAAAGCGCAUGUAGGCGGCGAUUCAAGUCGGGGGUGAAAUCCUGGAGCUCAACUCCAGAACUGCCUUCGAUACUGCAUUGCUGGAGUAUGGAAGAGGUAGGUGGAACUGCGAGUGUAGAGGUGAAAUUCGUAGAUAUUCGCAAGAACACCAGUGGCGAAGGCGGCUCACUGGUCCGGUACUGACGCUGAGGUGCGAAAGCGUGGGGAGCAAACAGG